rnacentral:lncRNA from 10 species
GACAGAGCCAUAGAGGGUCAGCCCCUCAGCUCUCCCCCCUUCCCCUCUCCCCAGCACACACAGCUGCCCCCCUCAGCCUCUUGCACGCUCCGUUGCACGCCUGCUCACCUCUCUCCCCUCCCGUCCCCGGGCUGCAAUUUUGCACAAAUUUGCCCUCUCGCUGUCUUGCACAUUCUGCCUUUGCUUCUGGCUGGCGAGGCCCGCUCAAAUACACUCUGCUCUCCUCGCACACGCUGCAUUUCCUUUCUCACGCUCCAUGCCUCCUUCUCUGCUUCUUGCUGCUUACACACUUUUCCCCUACCAGGGCCCUCCUUUACACACUCCAUUUCACAUCUCCUCCUCCCCGCUCGCUCUGGACCCUUGUUGCAGACACACUUGGGACACAUUUUCCCUCCCCCUCACAGACUCCAUGCACAUCAUUCAUUCUCUGGAGUGCCCUGCUCUUUGCUCAGCCCUUGCACACUUGCUAUCUUAUGCACCCCUCCUGACACACUCUUACCUCCAUUUUCUUACGUUGAAGCACUUUCCCUUCUUAUUCUUAAAAACCCCAGAUUCUUCCACUCCCCAACUCUCCCCUCUCACCAUGACACUCCUAGCCCCCCACCCCCCGCCUUCCCUCUUGCCCCUUUUGCACCGUCACUUUUGGUCACGCCUUUUGCACACUUGCCUCCCAGAAACUGUUUCUCUCACACAUGCUCAUUCUCUUCUUCUUUGCCAGGCUCCCACUCCCUUGCCCCUUUCUGUUUGAAAUCUUUGCCCUUCUGCAUUUUUGAUUCUUUUGUGAACCCUCUUGCACACUUGCUUUUGCACACGCGCCCCCCCCCCCAGCAUUUUCAGUGCUCUCCGGAAGCCUUGUUUCUCCCCUUUAAUAAUGUUCUUGCGCACCAUGACAUGGCUGCACACCGCAUCUUGUCUUUUCUACCUGGAUGAGAGCUCUACCACUUCUUUCCUUUUGCACACUCAUCUCAUUCCAUGCACUCUUGGGCUGUAACUGUCAUUUCUUUUCCUGACACGCUUAUUUUUUAUUCCUGUUGACAAGCAGCUCUUGCGGCCAUUCUCAUUCGGAUUCUCUUACCUCCUUAAGCUCUUUCUCUUCCUGGUGAGAGAAGACCCUAUGCACACUGGCUUCCUGCUCACCAUGCUUCCACACUCGAGCCUCUCCCUGCCUCCAGCCCUCACCCUUCCUCACAUCCUCCCUCUUCUGUCUUUCCUGGGCCAUCUGUCCAUCCCUUUUGCACGAAGAUUGCCCUCUCCUAACCUGUCCACUCCAAGAAGCUCCCUCUCCCUCCAGCAUGGCUGUUCCUUCCCGCACGCUUCCUCUCUCCGCUUAUUCCCGGGGCUUGGGAAUGUUAAGCCACCCCUCCCCCUGAAAAGCCCCCUCCCCUGCUGUGGGUAAAGGGGGGAGGGCGUUGCCCUCAGGUCCCCCCCCCAUGUUCAGCUGCCAAAGAAGGGAGCUCCCCCUCCUUCCCCAAGCCCAUUCCCCCUCUGCUGCCCCCUACCCCCGAGAGGGGGGGGCGCUCCGUCCAUGAGGGGAGGGGGCUGCAAGCCCCCUCCCCUCACCAUGUCAGGGAUCUGCGGGGAACCUCGUGGGAGGGUCGUGGGAGGGGGGAGGGGUGGUGAGAGAGGGGCAGAGGCCGCGCUGGACCCCUACCCGCCCCCUCCCCCUUGUCGGAUGCCCCCAGUCCGCAGGGGGCCUGCGCGGCGCCCGUCUAUCAAGGGCUCGUUCAUUCUGGAUGGGUGCCGCGGGGUUGGGGAG